GAUGACGAUACUUACUCCAAAUGCUUGA
rnacentral:sRNA from 1 species